rnacentral:lncRNA from 1 species
CUCAAGUAGUUUAACUCAGCUGGUUUACAGAUGGAACUCUGCAGGUUGCUUUCCUCUCAAACAUUUACAUAAUACUGUAGUACCCAACACAAAAAUUACAGUCAUCCUACUCCUCCAUUGUAGUUUUAACUCCCAUUUGCUGUUUCUGGAAAGUCUUUCCAAUCAGUAUGGUAAAUCUGAUGGCACCGGUAUCUGCAUGGUCAUGAAGUGCAGUCUAAAUUUUAGAUGUUUAGAUUGUUUUUCAGGCUCAGUUUUCCGCCCUCCCUGCUCACUGUCAGACAUCGGUGGUUUCAAGCUCAUCUGCUGCUUGUGACCGUCAAGCAGGAAGAUGGGAGCUCUCCACGACAGUGUCAGGAGGCAACGCUGCGCAGAUCUUCGAACAGCAAAUGCCGACAGUGUCAGCAUCAGCUGUCGGUUGCAGAUGGCAUUUCCUUUUCGUCAAAGCCUCUUCCCCUGGGAGGGACCGCUGGCUACAACCUGGCUCCCUGCCUGACUAUCUUUGUUUUGGUCUCUGUUGUUAUGACGUCUAUGGCCAUGAGGUCUAUGGCCAUGAUGUCUAUGAUGGUGCUGUGGUGACGGAGGAGGUACAGCUUCAGCUGCCUCUUCAUCUGUUUUCUUUGAUAUGUUUUUGCAUAAUUCUUCAUCCUCUGCUGUCUGAAAGGAAAGCAUUUAGAAAACUGAAAUGUACACAGUUUCAGAAAACAAGCAUAUAAGGGUCUAUAGGAUUUUAUAUGUCUGCCUGCUAAAUUUU